rnacentral:rRNA from 1 species
UCAAAAACAUGUCUUUUUGUUAAUAAUUUAAAGUCUAGCCUGCCCACUGAGGAUUUAAAUGGCCGCGGUAUUUUGACCGUGCUAAGGUAGCAUAAUCAUUAGUUUCUUAAUUAGAAGCUGGAAUGAAUGGUUGGAUGGAAAAAUAACUGUCUCUAUUUAAUUUUUUUUGAAUUUUAUUUUUAAGUUAAAAAGCUUAAAUAAUUUUAAAAGACGAGAAGACCCUAUAGAGUUUUAUUAUUAAAUUUUUAAUUUUUAUUAGAAUAAUAAAAUAUUAAUGAAACAAAUAAUUUAAUUGGGGUGAUUGAAAAAUUUAACUAACUUUUUUUAUUAUUAUACAUUGAUUAGUGAAUGUUUGAUCCAUUAGUUAUGAUUAAAAGAUAAAAUUACCUUAGGGAUAACAGCGUAAUGUUUCUUGAGAGUUCUUAUCGAAAGAAAAGAUUGCGACCUCGAUGUUGGAUUAAAAUUAAUUUUUGGUGUAGAAGCUAAAAAUUUUAGGUCUGUUCGACCUUUAAAAUUUUACAUGAUCUGA